rnacentral:rRNA from 1 species
CCUACGGGGGGCAGCAGUGAGGAAUAUUGGUCAAUGGGCGCGAGCCUGAACCAGCCAAGCCGCGUGAAGGAUGACUGCCCUACGGGUUGUAAACUUCUUUUAUAAAGGAAUAAAGUGAGGCACGUGUGCCCUUUUGUAUGUACUUUAUGAAUAAGGAUCGGCUAACUCCGUGCCAGCAGCCGCGGUAAUACGGAGGAUCCGAGCGUUAUCCGGAUUUAUUGGGUUUAAAGGGAGCGUAGAUGGGUUGUUAAGUCAGUUGUGAAAGUUUGGGGCUCAACCGUAAGAGUGCAAUUGAUACUGGCAGUCUUGAGUGCAGUUGAAGUAGGCGGAAUUCGUGGUGUAGCGGUGAAAUGCUUAGAUAUCACGAAGAACUCCGAUUGCGAAGGCAGCUUGCUGACCUGCCACUGACGUUGAUGCUCGAAAGUGUGGGUAUCAAACAGGAUUAGAUACCCGGGUAGUC